UACGGGGGGGGGCAAGCGUUGUUCGGAAUUACUGGGCGUAAAGGGCGCGUAGGCGGUUGGAUAAGUCAGCUGUGAAAACCACGGGCUUAACUCGUGGCCUGCAGUUGAGACUGUCUGGCUUGAGUGUGGGAGAGGAGAGUGGAAUUCCUGGUGUAGCGGUGAAAUGCGUAGAUAUCAGGAGGAAUACCGAUGGCGAAGGCAGGUCUCUGGGCUGACACUGACGCUGAGACGCGAAAGCUAGGGUAGCAAACGGG
rnacentral:rRNA from 1 species